GUUAGGGGUCAGGCAUUGGGGGUUAGGGGUUUGUGUCCGGGUUAGAGGUCAGGCAUUGGGGGUUAGGGGUUUGUGUCCGGGUUAGAGGUCAGGCAUUGGGGGUUAGGGGUUUGUGUUAGGGGUCAGGGAUUAGGGUUGGGGGUUAGAGGUCAGGCAUUGGGGGUUAGGGGUUUGUGUCCGGGUUAGAGGUCAGGCAUUGGGGGUUAGGGGCUUGUGUCCGGUUAGGGUCAGGCAUUGGGGGUUAGGGUUUGUGUCUGCUAGAGGUCAGGCAUUGGGGGUUAGGGGCUGUGUUAGAGGUCAGGCAUUGGGGUUAGGGGUCUGUGUUAGGGUCAGGCAUUGGGGGUUAGGGCUUGUGUCCGGGUUAGAGGUCAGGCGUUAGGGGUUUGUGUUAGAGGUCAGGUAUUGGGGGUUAGGGUUUGUGUCCGGGUUAGAGGUCAGGCAUUGGGGGUUAGGGCUUGUGUCCGGUUAGAGGUCAGGCAUUGGGGGUUAGGGGUUUGUAGUCCGGGCUAGAGGUCAGGCACUGGGGGUUAGGGGCUUGUGUUAGGUUAGGGUCAGGCAUUGGGGGUUAGGGCUCUGUGUUAGGCUAGGGGUCAGGCACUGGAGGGGUUUGGUGUCCGGGUUAGAGGUCAGGCAUUGGGGGUUAGGGGUUUGUGUCCGGGUUAGUGGUCAGGCAUUGGGGGUUAGGGGUUUGUGUCCGGGUAAGAGGUCAGGCCAUGGGGUGUCCGGGUUAGAGGUCAGGCAUUGGGGGUUAGGGGUUUGUGUUAGGGGUCAGGCAUUGGGGGUUAGGGGUUUGUGUCCGGGUUAGAGGUCAGGCAUUGGGGUUAGGGGUUUGUGUCUGGGUUAGAGGUCAGGCAUUGGGGGUUAGGGGUUUGUGUUAGAGGUCAGGCAUUGGGGGUUAGGGGUUUGUGUUAGGGGUCAGGCAUUGGGGGUUAGGGGUUUGUGUCCGGGUUAGAGGUCAGGCAUUGGGGUUAGGGGUUUGUGUUAGAGGUCAGGUAUUGGGGGUUAGGGGUUUGUGUCCGGGUUAGAGGUCAGGCAUUGGGGGUUAGGGGUUUGUGUUAGAGGUCAGGUAUUGGGGGUUAGGGGUUUGUGUCCGGGUUAGAGGUCAGGCAUUGGGGGUUAGGGGUUUGUGUUAGGGUUAGGGGUCAGGCAUUGGGGGUUAGGGGUUUGUGUAAGGGUUAGUGGUCAGGCAUUGGGGGUAAGGGGUUUGUGUCCGGGUUAGAGGUCAGGCAUUGGGGGUUAGGGGUUUGUGUCCGGGUUAGUGGUCAGGCAGUGGGGGGUAGGGGUUUGUGUCCGGGUUAGAGGUCAGGCAUUGGGGGUUAGGGGUUUGUGUCCGGGUUAGAGGUCAGGCAUUGGGGUUAGGGGUCUGUGUUAGGGGUAAGGCAUUGGGGGUUGGGGUUUGUGUCCGGGUUAGAGGUCAGGCAUUGGGGUUAGGGGUUUGUGUUAGGGUUAGAGAUUAGGCCUUAGGGUCGAAGGUCAGAGUUAGAGGCAAGGGUUAGGGGUCAGGCAUUGGGGGUUAGGGGUUAGGGUUAGGGUUAGGGGCCCGGCAUUGGGGUUGGAGUUAGG